CUGCGCACAGUCAAUGGCAGUGAAUAUUUUGGAUCCCUGCAUUUGUACCAAACAUUGGUCUAUGUAUGGCACUGGCCAACCAGACAUUUGGACGCGUUUAUUUAACUGUCGUAAGUCAGCGCAUAAACGCCAUUGUCCAUUAGGUUUCAGAAUCCCCAAGAUCGGAUUAUUAUACGAACUGUGAACUGGACGUAUAAUGCCCCUUUCCUUUAAAUUCU